ACGGGCGAUUGGAUCUGAGCUCUCGUCCUGGUUCCUCCGUCACGGCGUCAACACAGCGAACCACACCGGAGUCCACUGCACGACGAGGAUUCGUCGUCCUCGAUCUCGCCCUCUCCUAUGUGCCCGACGACGCGGGCCGCGUCUCCGUGUCCUUGGCUAUGCUGCCAGCGGCAGCGAUGCGGUCUGGCGCCGGCGCCGGCGGAGUUCCCGUCUUCUUCCCUGCAUCGUGAGCACAGUGCCGGCCUGCCUACGUCGGGGCUGCUCGCCACAUGGCCGACCCAGAGGUGGAGACACCGCGACCAGGUCAUGCAAUUGCUGGGCUAUUCUUCCUCUGCUCGAUGCUGUGGUCGCUGUUGUUGCAACAAAUAUUACAGGUUCUCAGCGAGUUGCUUCUGACAAGAGCAUUUGCAAUGCAUACUUUCAGAAUCAAAGAAACCCCAUUUGCGGUUACAGUUA